GGAAGGGUGGCAGAGCGGCCGAAUGCACCGGUCUUGAAAACCGGCGAUGGGAAACCAUCCGUGGGUUCAAAUCCCACCCCUUCCGCCA
rnacentral:tRNA from 6 species